GCCAGAGGUUACUGCUAUCGAGGUUCGACUAAGCCAUGCGAGUCGAAUGUAGCAAUACAUGGCGUACUGCUCAGUAACACGUGGACAACCUACCCUUAGGACGGGGAUAAACCCGGGAAACUGGGUAUAAUACCCGAUAGUCCUCGGCUGCUGGAAUGCACCGAGUACUAAAGCUCCGGCGCCUAAGGAUGGGUCUGCGGCCUAUCAGGUAGUAGUGGGUGUAGCGUACCUACUAGCCUACGACGGGUACGGGUUGUGAGAGCAAGAGCCCGGAGAUGGAUUCUGAGACACGAAUCCAGGCCCUACGGGGUGCAGCAGGCGCGAAAACUUUACAAUGCUGGCAACAGCGAUAAGGGGACCUCGAGUGCCAGGUUACAAAUCUGGCUGUCGUGAUGCCUAAAAAGCAUUGCAUAGCAAGGGCCGGG
rnacentral:rRNA from 1 species